GAUGAACGCUAGCUACAGGCUUAACACAUGCAAGUCGAGGGACCGGCGCACGGGUGAGAAACACGUAUCCAACCUGCCCUUUACUCGGGGAUAGCCUUUCGAAAGAAAGAUUAAUACCCGAUAUAAAGGAUGGGGAUGCGUUCCAUUAGGUUGUUGGGGAGGGAACGGCCAACCAAGCCUUCGAUGGAUAGGGGUUCUGAAGGCAAGGUCCCCCAGAUUGGAGCUGAGACACGGGCCAAACUCGUACCGGAGGCAGCAGUGAGGAAGAAUGGUAAAUGGGCGCUAGCCUGAACCAGCCAAGUAGCGUGAAGGAUGAAGGAUUAUGGGUCGUAGAUUUCUUUUAUAUAAUAAUAUGUAUUAUAUGAAUAAGGAUCGGCUAACUCCGUGCCAGCAGCCGCGGUAAUAC
rnacentral:rRNA from 1 species